CCUACGGGUGGCAGCAGUAGGGAAUAUUGCUCAAUGGGGGAAACCCUGAAGCAGCAACGCCGCGUGGAGGAUGAAGGUUUUCGGAUUGUAAACUCCUUUUGUUAGAGAAGAUAAUGACGGUAUCUAACGAAUAAGCACCGGCUAACUCCGUGCCAGCAGCCGCGGUAAUACGGUGGGUGCAAGCGUUACUCGGAAUCACUGGGCGUAAAGAGCGCGUAGGCGGGAUAGCAAGUCAGAUGUGAAAUCCUAUGGCUUAACCAUAGAACUGCAUUUGAAACUGGUAGUCUAGAGUUGGAGAGAGGUAGGGGGAAUUCGUGGUGUAGGGGUGAAAUCCGUAGAGAUCAAGAGGAAUACUCAUUGCGAAGGCGACCUGCUAGAACAUAACUGACGCUGAUGCGCGAAAGCGUGGGGAGCGAACAGGAUUAGAUAUCCUUGUAGUC
rnacentral:rRNA from 1 species